rnacentral:lncRNA from 1 species
AAAAGAGGUUUCAAGAGAAAGAAAGAAUGGGUUGUCCACUACAGCUGAAGCAAGGAAGUAAGAAAUAG